GUGGGGAAUAUUGGACAAUGGGCGAAAGCCUGAUCCAGCCAUGCCGCGUGUGUGAAGAAGGUCUUCGGAUUGUAAAGCACUUUAAGUUGGGAGGAAGGGUAGUAACCUAAUACGUUGCUACUUUGACGUUACCGACAGAAUAAGCACCGGCUAACUUCGUGCCAGCAGCCGCGGUAAUACGAAGGGUGCAAGCGUUAAUCGGAAUUACUGGGCGUAAAGCGCGCGUAGGUGGUUCAGUAAGUUGGAAGUGAAAUCCCCGGGCUCAACCUGGGAACUGCCUCCAAAACUGCAUGACUAGAGUACGGUAGAGGGUAGUGGAAUUUCCUGUGUAGCGGUGAAAUGCGUAGAUAUAGGAAGGAACACCAGUGGCGAAGGCGACUACCUGGACUGAUACUGACACUGAGGUGCGAAAGCGUGGGGAGCAAACAGGAUUAGAAACCCUGGUAGUCC
rnacentral:rRNA from 1 species